GUCUACAGCCAGGCUACCCUGAAAAAGCCUGAUGCAGUCUGAUCUCAGAAGCUAAGCAGUGUCGGGCUUGGUUAGUACUUGGAUGGGAGACCACCAAGGAAGACCAGGUGCUGUAGGCA
rnacentral:rRNA from 1 species